CAGUAUACUUUAUUAAGAGAAAAAAUUAAGCUAGAUUAUUAGUAGAUAUGUUCUUGAAAUUCAAAGAAUUUGGCGGCACCUUAAUCCUAUUAGAGGAACCUGUUUUAUAAACGAUAAACCACGAAGAAUCUUACUGGCUUUAAGUAGUUUGUAUACCGUCAUUAUUAGAUGAUUUCGAGAGAAGUGAAUCAUUGAAAUUAACAAGAGUUAAGGAUAUUAGAUCAAGGUGCAGCUGAUAAGAAAGUAAAAAUGGGUUACAUUAAAUUAAUUUAUACGGAAAGAUUUUUUAAAUAAAUCGGUAAGGCGGAUUUAAUUGUAUAUUUAAGUUUAGUAUGUUAAAUAGAAAUUGGCCCUAGGGUGUGU
rnacentral:rRNA from 1 species